CCGUAACUAUAACGGUCCUAAGGUAGCGAAAUUCCUUGUCGGGUAAGUUCCGACCUGCACGAAUGGCGUAAUGAUGGCCAGGCUGUCUCCACCCGAGACUCAGUGAAAUUGAACUCGCUGUGAAGAUGCAGUGUACCCGCGGCAAGACGGAAAGACCCCGUGAACCUUUACUAUAGCUUGACACUGAACAUUGAGCCUUGAUGUGUAGGAUAGGUGGGAGGCUUUGAAGUGUGGACGCCAGUCUGCAUGGAGCCGACCUUGAAAUACCACCCUUUAAUGUUUGAUGUUCUAACGUGGACCCGUAAUCCGGGUUGCGGACAGUGUCUGGUGGGUAGUUUGACUGGGGCGGUCUCCUCCUAAAGAGUAACGGAGGAGCACGAAGGUUGGCUAAUCCUGGUCGGACAUCAGGAGGUUAGUGCAAUGGCAUAAGCCAGCUUGACUGCGAGCGUGACGGCGCGAGCAGGUGCGAAAGCAGGUCAUAGUGAUCCGGUGGUUCUGAAUGGAAGGGCCAUCGCUCAACGGAUAAAAGGUACUCCGGGGAUAACAGGCUGAUACCGCCCAAGAGUUCAUAUCGACGGCGGUGUUUGGCACCUCGAUGUCGGCUCAUCACAUCCUGGGGCUGAAGUAGGUCCCAAGGGUAUGGCUGUUCGCCAUUUAAAGUGGUACGCGAGCUGGGUUUAGAACGUCGUGAGACAGUUCGGUCCCUAUCUGCCGUGGGCGCUGGAGAACUGAGGGGGGCUGCUCCUAGUACGAGAGGACCGGAGUGGACGCAUCACUGGUGUUCGGGUUGUCAUGCCAAUGGCACUGCCCGGUAGCUAAAUGCGGAAGAGAUAAGUGCUGAAAGCAUCUAAGCACGAAACUUGCCCCGAGAUGAGUUCUCCCUGAGACUUAGAGUCUCCUGAAGGAACGUUGAAGACGACGACGUUGAUAGGCCGGGUGUGUAAGCGCAGCGAUGCGUUGAGCUAACCGGUACUAAUGAACCGUGAGGCUUAACCUUACAACGCCGAAG
rnacentral:rRNA from 1 species